CGUCUUAGCCCUUGCGCAUUCGUCAGGCUUUCUGGAAGUCCCGGCCUGCCUCGCGGCAGUUUCAGGCCGCGCGCUCUGGGAAAUUUGACCAGGUGGCUGAUGGCAGGUUCUGACAUCUCAGAGAGGUUGGCAACUUGGAGGUCUCCCACCAGCUCUUCAGACUCUCACGAUAUUGGCAACUGCUGGGCCUCACUCACAAGCUUUCAGCCAGCUCUGGGAGCUGUGCUUAUGAUGGCUGCAGCCCAAACUACAUCAACGAGAAGAUCCUGGAGCUGAAGCAAUUCCCUACACGUCUUCCUUUCUGCAUAGGAAGAUCCAAGCCUGGAUGAGGGUGCAUCAUCCAGGAAGCGUUGAGAAGGCAGUGACCUUGGUGCAGCUUUUAGAGUGAGAACCCAGGAGACGAAGGCAGUGAAGCUGAGCCGAGGACGAGCAGCAGGACUGCGAGGAGGCUGGAGCUGAUGAUGGUGAAAGCGAGGAUUCGCCUGUGAUGGUGUCAGCGAUGACAUGGGCACAGUCUCACCCAGGACCCCAGGAGUCCUGGCUGUUCCCAAACUGACCGGUAAGGCAGUCCCUCACAGGAGAGGCAGACAAGAGGUGGCAAGAGGAAAGGAAGUUGGGUAGGAGGCCUGAGGGGCCCAGCUCUGGCUUUGGCUGUGACCACCCAUCAGCCACCUUAGGCUGAGGAACCACAGCAGAUGUGUGAAAAGGGAAUGGUGUGCAGGCUUCGCGCUACUUCUCUGGGUUGUGAGAAUAUUUAUUUGAUCCUGUCUGUGGCAAGUGGUUAGCGGUCCUUGGAAAAAAGGCAUGCUGUCAAUUGAAAAAUUGUAUCAAUGAGUUAAAAUGUUUCAGUGAGGAAGGGAUGUACAGACACUAUAUGGAGAGCCCCAGUAUUAAACGUACAGGGGAAAACUGGCUUUUCAAUGGAUAUCUGAAGGGCUGAAGCAAACCAGGAGUAUAAGUUACACGUCAGAGGAAAUGGAUAGACUUGGGGGUGUUGCCUUUUGUACAACCUACUUCAAAUUUAUUCUCAAGUGGUUGGUGCAGUGAUCAUGCUGAUUUGUCAGUGGGACGUAGACACUAAGGUAACAGAGGUGGUAACUGUAGGAAGCAGUGACCACACAGGGAGUAGGGGGAAAGGUUGGGUUUAUCAGAACUCAGAAGCAGGUUGGGUUAUCAGAACUCGGAACUUAGAAGAGUGGCCCUGCGAGCUGGAACUCAGAUCUUGGGGCUUGGGGGCUGGGUGUGCUGCCUGACUUGUGCUGUAUUUCUGAGGGGUCCAGUAAGGCUGGUUCUGGAAGGAAGAUACAGUGUGUUUCGUUCACUGCUUUGUAUUUGGCUUCUGUGUAAUACCUGGUACUUUAUAGGCAAUCAAAUGUUUCCUGAAUGAAUGAAUAACUGGAUGUAUUCUCCAGUUCUUACUGUCUGCUCCAGACCCUCCCAAGAGGCUGACAGGCAAGGGCUGCGUGCUCUAGUACUCUGUGUUCUUUCUCCUGCCCAGCAGACUACAGGAUAAAGCAGUUUGGACGGUGGAGACAAUCUAAGAAUGCAAGGAGUUGUUCAACAGUUGCAUCCCAGUUUCCCUGGUUACCGCAGACCCAGGAGUGGGAGGAACCUGCCUGUGAGGCCUGGGUACCUGUGCUUCCUUAGCGAUUCCAUUGACUUUCACUGGCUUUCCUCACUUAUCAAAGCCAGCUUCUUUGAGCUGGUGUACAAAGCCCUUCAGUAGUUGAUCCACCCCGGGCUGUCCCCUCUUCCCCACCAUGAUCUCCAAUGAAGUCAGGCUGUCCCCCAAUGGGUCACAUUCAAGCCCAUCUCUUUGCCUUUGCCUGAGCUUUCCUAAGGUAUCAUUUUUUUCCCACUCUCUGUAGAGCAGAGGUAAGUAUGUGACUCUGGGAACUGACCUGCAUAGCUUGUCCACUGGGCCAUGUUCAAGGACCGUGUAUGCAGAGAACUGUGGGAUGGGCCAAGCGAGACUCAAGCUGAGGAAACACUGAAGUAUAUUUUUCUGUCCUGCCUUUGCUUCUCUUUUUCUAAAUUAAAAAAAAAUUUUUUUGGGCUUUGAGGUAGAGUAUACACUCUCCUUUGCUCAUCUGUAAUUCCUCAAGAAGGCUUAAAGCAGAGACCAUGACACUUGCUUUUCAACAAAGCUUAGGCAAGGUACUGACAACUUGCAUGCACAGGCCAAGAACCAUGGACAACUUACCCAUCUUUCACAUUUUAUCAUAGAGAUUUCACAAAAGCUUAAACAUCCAUGCUUUGUUCUGGAUCAGUAAGCUUUAAUUUUGGCUCUUCAUGCUCCUCACACCCAGCCUUCUUUUCACCUGUAGUCAGAGCUGCCUGCAGCCCCUGUGUUUUCCUUACUCCC